rnacentral:sRNA from 1 species
AAAAAAUCGUAACAAGAUUUCCGUAGGUGAACCUGCGGAAGGAUCAUUACCGAGUGAGGGCCCUCUGGGUCCAACCUCCCACCCGUGUUUAUUUUACCUUGUUGCUUCGGCGGGCCCGCCUUAACUGGCCGCCGGGGGGCUUACGCCCCCGGGCCCGCGCCCGCCGAAGACACCCUCGAACUCUGUCUGAAGAUUGUAGUCUGAGUGAAAAUAUAAAUUAUUUAAAACUUUCAACAACGGAUCUCUUGGUUCCGGCAUCGAUGAAGAACGCAGCGAAAUGCGAUACGUAAUGUGAAUUGCAAAUUCAGUGAAUCAUCGAGUCUUUGAACGCACAUUGCGCCCCCUGGUAUUCCGGGGGGCAUGCCUGUCCGAGCGUCAUUUCUGCCCUCAAGCACGGCUUGUGUGUUGGGCCCCGUCCUCCGAUCCCGGGGGACGGGCCCGAAAGGCAGCGGCGGCACCGCGUCCGGUCCUCGAGCGUAUGGGGCUUUGUCACCCGCUCUGUAGGCCCGGCCGGCGCUUGCCGAUCAACCCAAAUUUUUAUCCAGGUUGACCUCGGAUCAGGUAGGGAUACCCGCUGAACUUAAGCAUAUCAAUAAGCGGAGGAAAAGAAA